rnacentral:rRNA from 1 species
GUGGGGAAUAUUGGACAAUGGGCGAAAGCCUGAUCCAGCCAUGCCGCGUGUGUGAAGAAGGUCUUCGGAUUGUAAAGCACUUUAAGUUGGGAGGAGGGCAGUAAGUUAAUACCUUGCUGUUUUGACGUUACCGACAGAAUAAGCACCGGCUAACUUCGUGCCAGCAGCCGCGGUAAUACGAAGGGUGCACGCGUUAAUCGGAAUUACUGGGCGUAAAGCGCGCGUAGGUGGUUUUGUAAGUUGGAGGUGAAAUCACCGGGCUCAACCUGGGAACUGCCUCCAAAACUGCAUGAAUAGAGUACGGUAGAGGGUAGUGGAAUUUCCUGUGUAGCGGUGAAAUGCGUAGAUAUAGGAAGGAACACCAGUGGCGAAGGCGACUACCUGGACUGAUACUGACACUGAGGUGCGAAAGCGUGGGGCGCAAACAGGAUUAGAUACCCGUGUAGUCC